CUUCCCUCCAAACUCAAUGACAUUAGUCAAUUUGGUGUCAUAAUCUUACUUUGUCAACUUAUUAUGGCUUUGUUGUCUCGUCCGUUAGGGGUGUGCCCCAUGCACAUCUUGUCAUUUUGUAUUAUGUAUCUUUAAUAUCUUUUAGCAGAAAGGUAAUAAGGUCCACACUUUAAAAAACUUUUCUAGGAAUUCUUAGUAUUUUUUUCAAAAUUGAAAACAAAAAAACAUGAUUACCUACCUUACUGUAUAACGUAGGAUUUACCGAGAAAUUCCAUUCGUGCCUAUUUUUCUAUUCCUGAGAGUAUGCCAUUCUACUCAAAAGAGGGUGGAAACGCGAGGUGUAGUAUACUACGCCGAGAAAGCAACUACUCCCUUUAUGUGCUAAUGACAUGCGCAUCCGGGUCUAUUUGUGUCGUGGUUCAAAAAUAUAUACAAAAGCUCACUAUUUUUGUGAUUCAAAAUGGAGAUAUGCUAUACAUGUGGUCCCAGAUGGACAGGGGCACCAUUCGUAGGUGGGGCGGCCUGUCGUCGAGGGCCACAUUGUAG
rnacentral:lncRNA from 1 species